UGGUCAUAGGAAAAUUCACAAAGACGCUUGGAAACAGAAACCACUGAUCCCUCUUUAAGUGAAAGAUGAACAUCGUUCCCAGAUAUAGGAUGCCCGGUGGUAACCAGCCUUCCAUGUGGCUGAACAGAUGCCAAUGUACCCGAAUUCUGAGACACAACUGGAUGUUCUUUUCUUCUGCUUUUAAGAUUCCCAAUUAGGGAUGAUGUGCAGUUCAUAUUAGAUUUGCUAUUUCUAGAGUGAGGUGGAAGAGUCCGGCCGUGUUAUGGGGCAGCAAUUAAAGAAGAAGGAAGGACAGAUGUGUGCCAUGCUGAAGUAGUGGGUGACCCUUCUGCCUGGCACUUCUAGAAUCCUCCAUCUCAAUCUCUGGUCUGAUUUGCUGUGCCUUUGCCAAGUGAUUACGAGUUUAUUACAGUGGUGCCCCCCUGUGAUUCCACCGUCUGUUACAUCAACUCAAACUGCCUGUGAUGUCAGAGAGAAACAAAGUUCACAAGAUGUCCUGAAAUGGAAUUGUGAUUGGACUGAGACGGCCACAAUUAUGUAUGCUGGGAUGUGCAGAGGGGGCUGUGCAGGCUUUGGUUUGGGACCCCCAGAGGUUUAUUAUCUCCAGCAUCCUUGAAAGCUGCAAGUUUGUCUUUGUCCCUGGCCAUUUCAAGAUCGAAGUGUAUUGUCAUGGGCACAGUAAGGAAACAUGUUCCCAUGUACAAUGAAAUUCUUUCUUUGCUUUCCUCACCAAAUGACAAAACCAAUGUAUAAAGAUAAACAUAAAUAAUAAGUAGCCGAUAGAUAAUAAGUAACAGAGGCAGCAUAAAGUAUAAAAACAGAAUAGACCAUGCAGUGUUAUUUAUUACAAAAGGACAAGGACCCAUCCCUUUACUUCUUAUUUACUUUUAUAAUGCCAUCAAUUUUCUUUGUAACUGUAUGUUUUUGUAGAGCAAUUUGAGCAACACUUAUAAGCAAAGGUGAUAUAGAAAUAUUAUUAGUGAACAAAUGUUAAGGGACAGAUCAGGAAAAAUGUCAGUUUAAAUAGAACACAUUUUUUAUGAAAUAUUGCUGGAUAAUAACUCUUUGACUCUGAGUAGUAUCUUGUUCAUAAAGCUAAAAAAGCAUUUUUCACUUUUUUUGACAAAUUUAAUGAUUCACUUCUACUGUGUUCAAAACAUUGGCUAACAUUUUU